rnacentral:sRNA from 1 species
CAAGAUGCCGGUCGUCACACAACAAAACUCAAAAGAGUCAAAUCUGCUUUCUCGUCCAUUGCCUCAUCGGAAUGGUUCAAAUCUUCAAAGAAGGAAAAACAAGACGCCAAAGUGACCAAACCAGAGAACGACUAUGAUUACGUCACGACAGGUCGAGGUAAAGCAACAGCUAGACCGGCUUCAGAUGCAGAUACACCCAAGAAAGUUCCCAUUAAUCCUCGUGAAAGAGAGACAUCACAGCCAUCCCAUGAUUCCACCAAGACGAGAUCAAAUGUGUAUGUGUCACAAGGAGGCCAGGGAAGUGUCAAUAUAGGCUUCAAUAGCCACGACAAACAAAAUGAGACUUCAACUGAUGAUAACCUCAAUGACAAAGUCAUAUUCAGUGGCGUUGACCAAGACAGCGAUGCUUCCUCCCCCCGAGUGUACAAUAGAGAGGACCGCGCUCAGAGGCGAAGAAGUCGAAAUAAUGAGGCGGCCGUGACCACCCCUAACCCAGAUGGAGUUUCUCUUUAACUUGAUGGAGACAGCGGGUUCCAGAGGCCAUGUUCUAUUUUGGUGUCGCCUUUUGUAGCAUUGCAGUGUACAGAGCUCAUUAAAUGUCCAUUGUUUAAACACGAAGCACGUAAUCAAGAAACUAAUUGUUACAUUGAAUAAUCCUCCCUCGGGAUUGUGUGAUCCAUUACACACUUAACCAUUGUUCUCAUUUGUAAAUAUGUAAAUGCUUUUCUUAACUAACACACCCAGGCAUUUUUAUCUUUCCAUUCAGC